UACGUAGGGGGCAAGCGUUGUCCGGAUUUAUUGGGCGUAAAGAGCGUGUAGGCGGUUUGGUAGGUCCGCUGUGAAGACUCGAGGCUCAACCUCGAGACGCCGGUGGAAACCAUCAGGCUAGAGUCCGGAAGAGGAGAGUGGAAUUCCUGGUGUAGCGGUGAAAUGCGCAGAUAUCAGGAAGAACACCCGUGGCUAAGGCGGCUCUCUAGUACGGUACUGACGCUGAGACGCGAAAGCGUGGGGAGCGAACAGG
rnacentral:rRNA from 1 species